UGGGGAAUAUUGGACAAUGGGCGCAAGCCUGAUCCAGCAACGCCGCGUGAGUGAUGAAGGCCUUAGGGUUGUAAAAGCUCUUUUCGCACACGACGAUGAUGACGGUAGCGUGAGAAGAAGCCCCGGCUAACUUCGUGCCAGCAGCCGCGGUAAUACGAAGGGGGCUAGCGUUGUUCGGAAUUACUGGGCGUAAAGGGCGCGUAGGCGGCCUGUUUUAGUCAGAAGUGAGAGCCCCGGGCUCAACCUGGGAAUAGCUUUUGAUACUGGCAGGCUUGAGUUCCGGAGAGGAUGGUGGAAUUCCCAGUGUAGAGGCNAAAUUCGUAGAUAUUGGGAAGAACACCGGUGGCGAAGGCGGCCAUCUGGACGGACACUGACGCUGAGGCGCGAAAGCGUGGGGAGCAAACAGGAUUAGAUACCCUGGU
rnacentral:rRNA from 1 species